GAUAGCUCAGUUGGUUAGAGCGUGGUGCCCAUAACGUCAAGGUUGUGGGUUUGAUCCCUGUACAGGACAGCUGCA